rnacentral:rRNA from 1 species
UUCGCUACGGGGGGCAGCAGUGGGGAAUAUUGCGCAAUGGGCGAAAGCCUGACGCAGCAACGCCGCGUGAAGGAAGACGGUUUUCGGAUUGUAAACUUCUGUUCUUAGUGAAGAAGAAUGACGGUAGCUAAGGAGCAAGCCACGGCUAACUACGUGCCAGCAGCCGCGGUAAUACGUAGGUGGCAAGCGUUGUCCGGAAUUACUGGGUGUAGAGGGAGCGCAGGCGGGAAGCCAAGUCAGCUGUGAAAACUACGGGCUUAACUUGUAGACUGCAGUUGAAACUGGUUUUCUUGAGUGAAGUAGAG